CCAAAGGCUCUUUUCAGAGCCACUCACUUUCUCCAAAGAGACCUA
rfam:Mus musculus chromosome 13, GRC primary reference assembly.